GUAAAUAUAGUUUAACACAAAACACUAGCCUGUGAGCCUAGAAAUAGAAGUUUAAACCUUCUUAUUUACC
rnacentral:tRNA from 1 species